rnacentral:misc_RNA from 1 species
AUCUUUUUAUUUUAUAUAUAUGAUAUAUUUAUUUUUAAGAGUGGAUGGUUUUAAAUAAAUUCAUCUUGCUCCUCCCUAUAAAAGGGCGAGAAAAAAUAAGUUCAUAGUUAAGACGUGUUCAUUGCGAAUUAUCAUCUCAAACUUAAUAAAACUUAUUUGGUGCAGAUUUACUUUUUGAAAAACUUAAAGGACCAAUUUUUGAAAAGUAAACCCAACCCAAAUAAUAAUGAUCCUUCCGCAGGUUCACCUACGGAAA